UACGGAGGGUGCAAGCGUUAAUCGGAAUUACUGGGCGUAAAGCGCGCGUAGGCGGCUUGUUAAGUCAGCUGUGAAAGCCCCGGGCUCAACCUGGGAAUUGCAGUUGAUACUGGCAAGCUAGAGUACAGUAGAGGGUGGUAGAAUUUCUUGUGUAGCGGUGAAAUGCGUAGAUAUAAGAAGGAAUACCAGUGGCGAAGGCGGCCACCUGGACUGAUACUGACGCUGAGGUGCGAAAGCGUGGGGAGCGAACAGG
rnacentral:rRNA from 1 species